UACAGAGGUCUCAAGCGUUGUUCGGAUUCAUUGGGCGUAAAGGGCGCGUAGGCGGCCACCGCAAGUCGACUGUGAAAUCUCCGGGCUUAACCCGGAAAGGUCAGCCGAUACUGCGGGGCUAGAGUGCAGAAGGGGCAACUGGAAUUCUCGGUGUAGCGGUGAAAUGCGUAGAUAUCGAGAGGAACACCUGCGGCGAAGGCGGGUUGCUGGGCUGACACUGACGCUGAGGCGCGAAAGCGUGGGGAGCAAACAGG
rnacentral:rRNA from 1 species